rnacentral:rRNA from 1 species
UAGGGAAUCUUCCGCAAUGGACGCAAGUCUGACGGAGCAACGCCGCGUGAGUGAAGAAGGUUUUCGGAUCGUAAAACUCUGUUGUUAGAGAAGAACAAGUGCUAGAGUAACUGUUAGCGCCUUGACGGUAUCUAACCAGAAAGCCACGGCUAACUACGUGCCAGCAGCCGCGGUAAUACGUAGGUGGCAAGCGUUGUCCGGAUUUAUUGGGCGUAAAGCGAGCGCAGGCGGUUCCUUAAGUCUGAUGUGAAAGCCCCCGGCUCAACCGGGGAGGGUCAUUGGAAACUGGGGAACUUGAGUGCAGAAGAGGAGAGUGGAAUUCCAUGUGUAGCGGUGAAAUGCGUAGAUAUAUGGAGGAACACCAGUGGCGAAGGCGACUCUCUGGUCUGUAACUGACGCUGAGGCUCGAAAGCGUGGGUAGCAAACAGGAUUAGAUACCCUGGUAGUCCACGCCGUAAACGAUGAGUGCUAAGUGUUGGAGGGUUUCCGCCCUUCAGUGCUGCAGUUAACGCAUUANNCACUCCGCCUGGGGAGUACGACNGCNNNGUUG